CACGUAGGGCGCAAGCGUUGUCCGGAAUUAUUGGGCGUAAAGAGCUCGUAGGCGGACUGUCACGUCUGCUGUGAAAAGCUGGGGCUUAACCCUGGCCUUGCAGUGGGUACGGGCAGACUAGAGUGUGGUAGGGGAGACUGGAAUUCCUGGUGUAGCGGUGAAAUGCGCAGAUAUCAGGAGGAACACCGAUGGCGAAGGCAGGUCUCUGGGCCAUAACUGACGCUGAGAAGCGAAAGCAUGGGGAGCGAACAGG
rnacentral:rRNA from 1 species